rnacentral:ncRNA from 5 species
UAACUAUACAAUCUACUGUCUUUC